rnacentral:rRNA from 1 species
AGAACGAACGCUGGCGGCAUGCCUAAUACAUGCAAGUCGAACGAGAUCUUCGGAUCUAGUGGCGCACGGGUGCGUAACGCGUGGGAAUCUACCCUUGGGUUCGGAAUAACAGUUGGAAACGACUGCUAAUACCGGAUGAUGACGAAAGUCCAAAGAUUUAUCGCCCAAGGAUGAGCCCGCGUAGGAUUAGCUAGUUGGUGAGGUAAAGGCUCACCAAGGCUACGAUCCUUAGCUGGUCUGAGAGGAUGAUCAGCCACACUGGGACUGAGACACGGCCCAGACUCCUACGGGAGGCAGCAGUAGGGAAUAUUGGACAAUGGGGGCAACCUGAUCCAGCAAUGCCGCGUGAGUGAUGAAGCCUUAGGUUGUAAAGCUCUUUACCGAGAUGAUAAUGACAGUAGUCGGAGAAUAAGCUCCGGCUAACGUCCGUGCCAGCGAGCCGC